UCAAACUUGGUCAUUUAGAGGAAGUAAAAGUCGUAACAAGGUAACCGUAGGUGAACCUGCGGUUGGAUCAUUAAUAAAUGAUAGCCAGUUCUCCUUGCUUUGCAGGGAUUGAGCAGGCAUUUACCCUUUGUGAACUGUAUUUUAUCUUGGGUGCGGCGGUUUACUGCUGCGCUCACUAUAAACCCCUAUAUGAUUAACUGAAUGUGAUCUAAGAGUAACAACUUUUGACAAUGGAUCUCUUGGCUCUCGCAUCGAUGAAGAACGCAGC
rnacentral:misc_RNA from 1 species